UAGCUCAGCGGUAGAGCAGUUGGCUGUUAACCAACUGGUCGGUGGUUCGAAUCC
rnacentral:tRNA from 1 species